UACGUAGGUGGCAAGCGUUGUCCGGAUUUAUUGGGCGUAAAGGGUGUGUAGGUGGCGCGCUAAGUCGGGUGUGAAAUUUCGGAGCUUAACUCCGAAACUGCAUUCGAUACUGGCGUGCUUGAGGACUGGAGAGGAGACUGGAAUUUACGGUGUAGCAGUGAAAUGCGUAGAUAUCGUAAGGAAGACCAGUGGCGAAGGCGGGUCUCUGGACAGUUCCUGACACUGAGACACGAAGGCCAGGGGAGCAAACGGG
rnacentral:rRNA from 1 species